CCUACGGGAGGCAGUAGUGAGGAAUAUUGGUCAAUGGACGCAAGUCUGAACCAGCCAUGCCGCGUGCAGGAAGACGGCUCUAUGAGUUGUAAACUGCUUUUGUACGAGGGUAAACGCAGAUACGCGUAUCUGUCUGAAAGUAUCGUACGAAUAAGGAUCGGCCAACUCCGGGCCAGCAGCCGCGGUAAUACGGAGGAUUCAAGCGUUAUUCGGAUUUAUUGGGUUUAAAGGGUGCGUAGGCGGUCGGAUAAGUUAGAGGUGAAAUCCCGAGGCUCAACUUCGGAAUUGCCUCUGAUACUGUACGGCUAGAGAGUAGGUGCGGUAGGCGGAAUGUAUGGUGUAGCGGUGAAAUGCUUAGAGAUCAUACAGAACACCGAUUGCGAAGGCAGCUUACCAAGCUACUUCUGACGUUGAGGCACGAAAGCGUGGGGAGCAAACAGGAUUAGAUACCCCAGUAGUC
rnacentral:rRNA from 1 species